rnacentral:lncRNA from 1 species
CUAGGAUCAUAUAUGAUUAUUUGGAUACUUAUAAAACAUACACAUAAAGGAGAUUUAAUUAAGGUGGGUUACCCAAUAACACGUGUCACAACUUUAUAACAUAGAGUUAUCCUAAUCAAAGUGUUUUGCAGCGGAAAACGUGUGAGAUAUACAUAUGAAGAUGUAUACUCAAGGUUACAUUUCUUGAAAUGUCAAAGGAACACCCGCUCAACACCAUUCCAUUCCAUCAGCAGCUCAACCUGCACAUUUAGAAAUACAUGCAGGGCUGAGUAAUAAAAAUACUCAGUGGACAAUGACCCAAAUACAUUCAUGCAUACAUAUAUAAAUUGAACUGACCAUAACAGUAACACACAGGGGUUUUCUUAAAUGACCUGCGCUUACUAAAAUAUUUCUUUCAUUUUCAUAAAGUCGAUCGGCCGAUCAUUUUCCUUCAUAUGAUCCAUAUCUGUUCCUUUCUGUCACGCGCCGGGAAGGAGGCCUCCUUACCACGGACGCCAAGACCGGUCGCAAGCGACUCGCGGUCUCCAUAAGUGUACACGUUAACCCUAGCUAGCGACCUUUGUCUAGCAUAGGAUCCCAAUUGGAUUUCCUUUAAAGUUGGCGAACCAACACAGAUAGGAUACAUAUAAAAACAUAAACAUUUUUGGCAGUCAAUCAUUUCAUAAACAUUUCAUUUCAUUUCAUGAACAUUUCAUUUUCAUUUCAUAAGAGUCAUUUAUCAUUUGGGCAUAAUAAUAAACUGAAAUUAACAGUUAAAAAUCAUCUCAUGCAUAUAUUCGUAUAAGAGGCCUACGACACGCAGGGGAUCUCUAUAUACGUAUAGUAAAAGUAAUGCCCACCUGGAUAGGCAAAGCCUGAAGAUCAUA